CAGCCGCCGCGGUAAUACCAGCACCUCAAGUGGUCAGGAUGAUUAUUGGGCCUAAAGCAUCCGUAGCCGGCUCUGUAAGUUUUCGGUUAAAUCUGUAUGCUCAACAUACAGGCUGCCGGGAAUACUGCAGAGCUAGGGAGUGGGAGAGGUAGACGGUACUCGGUAGGAAGGGGUAAAGUCCUUUGAUCUAUUGAUGACCACCUGUGGCGAAGGCGGUCUACCAGAACACGUCCGACGGUGAGGGAUGAAAGCUGGGGGAGCAAACCGGAUUAGAUACCCGGGUAGUCCCAGCUGUAAACUAUGCAAACUCAGUGAUGCAUUGGCUUGUGGCCAAUGCAGUGCUGCAGGGAACCCGUUAAGUUUGCCGCCUGGGAAGUACGUACCCAAGUAUGAAACUUAAAGGAAUUGGCGGGGGAGCACCACAAGGGGUGAAACCUGCGGUUCAAUUGGAGUCAACGCCAGAAAUCUUACCCGGAGAGACAGCAGAAUGAAGGUCAGGCUGAAGACUUUACCAGACAAGCUGAGAGGUGGUGCAUGGCCGUCGCCAGCUCGUGCCGUGAGAUGUCCUGUUAAGUCAGGUAACGAGCGAGAUCCCUGCCUCUAGUUGCCACCAUUAUUCUCAGGAAUAGUGGGGCGAAUUAGCGGGACCGCCGCAGUUAAUGCGGAGGAAGGAAGGGGCCACGGCAGGUCAGUAUGCCCCGAAACUCUGGGGCCACACGCGGGCUGCAAUGGUAACGACAAUGGGUUUCGAAUCCGAAAGGAUGAGGUAAUCCUCAAACGUUACCACAGUUAUGACUGAGGGCUGCAACUCGCCCUCACGAAUAUGGAAUCCCUAGUAACUGCGUGUCAUUAUCGCGCGGUGAAUACGUCCCUGCUCCUUGCACACACCGCCCGUCGUUUCAUUGAAGUGAGCUUUUAGCGAGGUGACGUCUAAUUGGCGUUAUCGAACUUGAGGUUCGUGAACAAGGGAAAAGUCGUAACAAGGUAACCGUA
rnacentral:rRNA from 1 species